rnacentral:lncRNA from 1 species
GAUCCUCGCAAGAUAGAUAUGUCGGCAAGCCCAAUAAACAUGGAUUGUGACUAAUGCUCUCCAUGAUCAUAGUCAUGGUCUCCUUGGUCAUAGUCAUGAUGCCCAUAAAUAUCAUCAUCCAAAUGAAGAAGCUCAACAUGGGUAGACGAUCCACCACAUUGAGUGCGCGACAAUCUAAGUAAUAAUAGCCACCUUGAGUGCGCGACAAUCUAAGUAAUAAUAUCUAUAAUUAAUGUGAAAUUAGAUAAGUUUAAUAUGUUUAAAAAAUAUAGCAAUAUAUCAUAUCAUAUCAUAUUUUGCAUAUAAUUAUAUUGUCAUACAUACAUUUUUUAUUACAC